UUGACUGGACUUUGAUGAUGAUAAUUGGAUUUCGGCUUUCAGUCACGAAUUAAGCGUUGAUUAUUUUAAAUCAUUGCCAACGUUUCGAUCCAGAGCCCUGAAGAAGAUCCCAACAACUGGAUCGAAACGUGGGCAAUGAU